rnacentral:rRNA from 1 species
GAUGAACGCUGGCGGCGUGCCUAAUACAUGCAAGUCGAGCGAACGGACGAGAAGCUUGCUUCUCUGAUGUUAGCGGCGGACGGGUGAGUAACACGUGGAUAACCUACCUAUAAGACUGGGAUAACUUCGGGAAACCGUAGCUAAUACCGGAUAAUAUUUUGAACCGCAUGGUUCAAAAGUGAAAGACGGUCUUGCUGUCACUUAUAGAUGGAUCCGCGCUGCAUUAGCUAGUUGGUAAGGUAACGGCUUACCAAGGCAACGAUGCAUAGCCGACCUGAGAGGGUGACCGGCGACACUGGACCUUAGACACCGUCCAGACUCCUACGGGAGGCAGCAGUAGGGAAUUUUCCGCAUUGGGCGAAAGCCUGACGGAGCAACGCCGCGUGAGUGAUGAAGGUCUUCGGAUCGUAAAACUCUGUUAUUAGGGAAGAACAUAUGUGUAAGUAACUGUGCACAUCUUGACGGUACCUAAUCAGAAAGCCACGGCUAACUACGUG